AACGCUACUGUGAAUCCCCAGCAUGGCCACAGAGCUGGAACCAGGGAAUCAGAUAAGCAAGACAAGGAGAGCCCUCUUCUAUCCCUCCCCUCUGCAAAGUCUCCAUCUGUUAAAACCCCACUCGGGGUAUUGCAUAACCAGCUCGCAGAAUCAGCAGCACGCUCCUGUUUGCUCAUUCAUCUGUUAAUUCAUUCACUGAGUAAACACUGAUUAAAAACCUACUAUAUUGGACAUCCUUGGCUUUUGCCUACCCACCAUUCACAAACGGUACCCGCAUUUCCCUGGAAACCUGCAAUCUUUCCCUCAUUCUCAGUCUCUGUACCUGAGCAGGUGCAAGCUGCACCCAAUCUCCCUCAGGGGGAGGGCAUUUGAUCCAAGAUGGCCAAUCAGAGCGUCGCAUUUGCCUGCCACAGCGAUUGGUUCAGGGCUGUGCAUGUUACCCAGAAAAGACCAAUCAGAAAGACAGUUGGACUCAGUUCUAAGACUUGUUGAACUACUGGAACAGUGGCCUUUUUUUACCUCCUGCUAGAACCGCUGACAACCAUUUUGGACCACAAUCCACAAGAAAAGGGAGGCAGCGUUAAAGAUGGUGAAAAACUGUGUAAGCCUUGGCAACACUUUAAGCCUUGGAUCCUCCAGGCCUUAUGUUUCACUCCUAGAUUCUUCAAUUACAUAAACCAACAAAUCCCCUUUCUGCGGAAGCCAGUUCGAGGCGAGAUUCUGUUUCAAGGUCGACAGAAUCCUGACUAAUGAAAUCCGAAGUGCUGUGGUGUAUGCUGCAUGCUGGCUAUACACAGAUGAAGCAAGGUGAUCCAUACCAUCCUUCCAGGCACUCACAGGCUGAUGUGGAGACAGCCACAAACAAUUACAGCUAUUUAAAGCCAAUAAGAUAACUGCUUUAAUUAAAUACUACACAGUGCAAUAUGAGCACAGCAAAGCACCUGGGUCCAGGAAGGCCUCACAGAGCAAUGGCGAUUAAACCUAUUCCCUCUCUCUAUUCAGGCAGUGAAGAUGGAAUUACUAGUUGGAGGAGUCAGAUAACACUGUUGAUUCACAUUCAUCUUACAGUAAACUAAAACCAUUACAUCCCACGUUGCACAGAAGGGCGAUGAUACUUAAAGCUCUUAACAGCUCUCUCUGAGCCUACAAAAUACUGUCUCAAGAGACCAGCAAAGUGCUAAGGUCAAAUAACUCUCACUUGCAAGUGUUUCAUCUGAAUUGUGCAGAUAAUGGAACGCUCUUAAAUACUACCCAGGUCAGUUUUUGUGAUUUUGAUUCCAUACGCUUAAAUUUUCAUUCCAUCCUUCUUGACCAUUUGGAUUUCUUGUCCAUUUGUGUGCUGAUCACAUCACAACAGCAUCAAAACAGCCCUUUCAAGAUGAAUAACCUACUUACUGAAUUUAUUUCCAGAUGAUCAAGGGAAGGGGAAGAGAGAAAGUCUCUGGUUCUAUAAAACAUUUCCUGAUGGGUUAGAAAUGUGGCUGAUUGCAGAAAACAACAAUAACAACAAUAAAAAGCACCUCUGGGAACAUCUGUUUUGAGAAGAAAGGCCCCUAAAGGUCAGUCUUUUUAAGUGAACAGAAGCUGGUGUCUCUUAGUCCUUUGAUGAUGCAUACUCAACGGGAAAGUUGUAAAGAUAAAAUAAUUCAGGAAACGAGGACAUCGCAGGACAAAUUCUCCUUGCCUUUAUUGUUUCUAAACACAUCAGCAAUUCAUGUGGUCCAGAAACACAAGCUACAGCUUUCCAGAACAAAGAAUCUUACAGUUGGAAAAAUUAGUACUGACUGAAUACUUCCAUGUGGACUCAAGAGAGGUGCCAGGGACUAGUGUCAGGAGAGACGAAGUUAAGAUGCCUCUCAGAUAACUCAGAUUUCUAUGAAGCAGCUGGGUUACCCGUUUCCAAAACACCUUGCAGGCCGUCAUGGAAUUUCCCUUCCUCUACCUGCAUGCCACAGGACUUUGCACAACAAAGGUACCAUCCAUUUUCUUGAAAAUGGGAUUAUCGGGCCAAGCACAGUGGCUCACACCUGUAAUCCCA
ensembl:lncRNA novel transcript, antisense to FAM49B